rnacentral:sRNA from 1 species
GCCAGGUGCAGUGGUGCACACCUGUAAUCCCAGUGGCUGAGGAGGCUGAGGCAGGAGGAUUAUGAGUUCAAUGCCAGCUCAGCAACUUAGCAAGACACUAAGAAACUCAGUGAGACCCUGUCUCUA